GCGUACCUCUUGCAUAAUGGGUCUGUGACUUAAUGUAUCAAGCAAGCUUAAGCCGAUAGGUGUAGGCGCAGCGAAAGCGAGUCUGAAUAGGGCGACUGAGUUUGAUGCAUUAGACCCGAAACCCGGCGAUCUAUGCAUGACCAGGAUGAAGGUGCGGUAACACGCACUGGAGGUCCGAACCGAUUAACGUUGAAAAGUUACCGGAUGAGUUGUGCUUAGGGGUGAAAGGCCAAUCAAGCCGGGAAAUAGCUGGUUCUCCGCGAAAACUAUUGAGGUAGUGCCUCGGAUGAACACCCUAGGGGGUAGAGCACUGGAUGGAUGCGGGGGUCGCGAGAUCUACCAACUCUAACCAAACUCCGAAUACCUAGGAGUGAUAUCCGGGAGACAGACGGCGGGUGCUAAGGUCCGUCGUCAAAAGGGAAACAGCCCUGACCUACAGCUAAGGUCCCCAAGUCACGUCUAAGUGGGAAAGCAUGUGGGAAUCCCAAAACAACCAGGAGGUUGGCUUAGAAGCAGCCAUCCUUUAAAGAAAGCGUAACAGCUCACUGGUCUAAACAAGGGUUCCUGCGGCGAAGAUGUAACGGGGCUCAAGACGUGCACCGAAGCUUAGGGUGUGAUCGUUUACGAUCACGCGGUAGCGGAGCGUUCCGUAAGCCUGUGAAGUGGAAGGGUAACCGACCAUGGAGGUAUCGGAAGUGCGAAUGCAGACAUGAGUAGCGAUAAAGAGGGUGAGAUGCCCUCUCGCCGAAAGACCAAGGGUUCCUGCGCAAGGCUAAUCCGCGCAGGGUGAGCCGGCCCCUAAGACGAGCCCGAAGGGGGUAGUCGAUGGGAACCACGUUAAUAUUCGUGGGCCUGGUGGUGUGUGACGGAUUGCGUGUGUUGUCAGCUCUUAUCGGAUUGAGCUGGCUUCGAAGCAGUCCCGGGAAAUAGCCCCACCGUAUAGACCGUACCCGAAACCGACACAGGUGGUCAGGUAGAGUAUACCAAGGCGCUUGAGAGAAGUGUCCUGAAGGAACUCGGCAAAUUGCCUCCGUACCUUCGGAAGAAGGAGGCCCAGCAUAAGCGCAAGCUCUUGUUGGGGGCACAGGCCAGGGGGUAGCGACUGUUUAGCAAAAACACAGGGCUCUGCUAAGUCGGCUUCAAGACGACGUAUAGGGCCUGACGCCUGCCCGGUGCCUGAAGGUUAAGUGGAGGAGUGCAAGCUCCGAAAUGAAGCCCAGGUAAACGGCGGCCGUAACUAUAACGGUCCUAAGGUAGCGAAAUUCCUUGUCGGGUAAGUUCCGACCUGCACGAAUGGCGUAACGACUUCCCCACUGUCUCCAGGACAUGCUCAGCGAAAUUGAAUUCUCCGUGAAGAUGCGGAGUACCCGCGGUUAGACGGAAAGACCCCGUGCACCUUUACUGCAGCUUCAGAGUGGCAGUGGAGAACAACUGUGUAGAAUAGGUGGGAGGCUUUGAAGCACCGGCGCCAGCUGGUGUGGAGCCACCAAGUGAAAUACCACCCUGUUGUUCUUUACUGUCUAACCUCGUACCGUCAUCCGGUACAGGGACCCUCUGUGGCGGGUAGUUUGACUGGGGCGGUCGCCUCCUAAAGAGUAACGGAGGCGCGCGAAGGUUGGCUCAGGCCGGUUGGAAACCGGCUGUUAGAGUGCAAUGGCAUAAGCCAGCCUGACUGCGAGACUGACAAGUCGAGCAGAGACGAAAGUCGGUCAUAGUGAUCCGGUGGUCCCUCGUGGAAGGGCCAUCGCUCAACGGAUAAAAGGUACGCCGGGGAUAACAGGCUGAUAACCCCCAAGAGCUCAUAUCGACGGGGUUGUUUGGCACCUCGAUGUCGGCUCAUCACAUCCUGGGGCUGGAGCAGGUCCCAAGGGUUUGGCUGUUCGCCAAUUAAAGUGGUACGUGAGCUGGGUUCAGAACGUCGCGAGACAGUUUGGUCCCUAUCUGCCGUGGGCGUCGAAAUUUGAGAGGAGUUGACCCUAGUACGAGAGGACCGGGUUGAACAUACCUCUGGUGUACCAGUCGUUCCGCCAGGAGCGCAGCUGGGUAGCUAUGUAUGGACGGGAUAACCGCUGAAAGCAUCUAAGCGGGAAGCCUCCCUCGAGAUAAGAUUUCAUAGAGCGGUCGAAGACCACGACCUUGAUAGAUCGGAUGUGGAAGCGCGGUAACGCGUGGAGCUAACCGAUACUAAUUGCUCUUUUCGCGCUUGA
rnacentral:rRNA from 1 species